GUGAAUCAUCAAAUCUUUGAACGCAAAUUGCACUCCCUGGUAUUCCGGGGAGUAUGCCUGUUUGAGGGUCGUUAGAACAAAAAUCGAAGCGUCGCUCUUUUUUUUAAGGGUGAUCGCGUCGGAAUUGAGCCGUCUUUCAAAUGUUAAUUCAUGUCAAAGUGGCUUAAAAUUCAUCCAUCCGGUACGAUUAAAGCGUAUUUAAGAUCAAUUUUGAUUAAGAACGCGCGAUGAACGUACCAUCUCAUGUAGUACGUUUGACUUUAGGUCGUCAGGAUCAUUUAGUAUACGCUGCCUAACUUUU
rnacentral:misc_RNA from 1 species